ACCGAGCGGCACAUUCAGAGAACAUGGCUGAGUGGGCCGGUCAUUUUCACCUCAUUUGCUCUGAACGCCUUCCUCGUGUUAUUUUUAAUAGGUUUCUGUUUUACAUAUCUGAGUCUGAAGAGGAACAUCUCCAAGUACCAGGUGAAUGAGCCUUCACCUUUGACCUCUGACACCCAAGAGAGUCUGGAGACUCCACAGCUGCCUGAGACUCAUUCAGAGUGUAUUUUCUACAAGGUUCAGCUUCCUCCAUCCACACUGCCUUGAUACCAACAGAACCUGAACACCAGGAGACCGGUGUCUAUCUUUCUCAUUUAUUCAUGAAUUGUUCUGCAACUGCAUGUAAAGUUUUUAGUCAUCUGUAUUAAAAAAAAGACAUUUUUUUUACGAUUUAAAUGGAAAUCUUGUUGCUGUUGGUGAUGAAGUUGACUUGUUUGCUUUUGCAAUCUUUUGAAUUUCAACCAUUUAAAAUAAGUCACAGUUAUUGUUACAUACUUCCUGUUUCUACAGACCUCUGUAGACUUGAGUUG